CUCAGGAUGAACGCUAGCGGCAGGCCUAACACAUGCAAGUCGAGGGGCAGCAUUUCCAGUUUACUGGAAGAUGGCGACCGGCGCACGGGUGCGCAACGCGUAUGGAACCUGCCCUUUACCGGGGAAUAGCCCAGAGAAAUUUGGAUUAAUGCCCCAUGGUAUAUCUGUCCGGCAUCGGAUAGGUAUUAAAGGUUACGGUAAGGGAUGGCCAUGCGUACCAUUAGUUAGUUGGUGGGGUAACGGCCCACCAAGGCGACGAUGGUUAGGGGCCCUGAGAGGGGGAUCCCCCACACUGGUACUGAGACACGGACCAGACUCCUACGGGAGGCAGCAGUGAGGAAUAUUGGACAAUGGGCGGAAGCCUGAUCCAGCCAUGCCGCGUGCAGGACGACUGCCCUAUGGGUUGUAAACUGCUUUUAUACGGGAAGAACAACCGCCACGUGUGGCGCUCUGACGGUACCGUAAGAAUAAGGACCGGCUAACUCCGUGCCAGCAGCCGCGGUAAUACGGAGGGUCCGAGCGUUAUCCGGAAUUAUUGGGUUUAAAGGGUCCGUAGGCGGAUCGGUAAGUCAGGGGUGAAAUGGUGCGGCUCAACCGUAGCACUGCCUUUGAUACUGUCGAUCUUGAGUUAUGGUGAAGUUGCCGGAAUAUGUAGUGUAGCGGUGAAAUGCAUAGAUAUUACAUAGAACACCGAUUGCGAAGGCAGGUGACUAACCAUAAACUGACGCUGAUGGACGAAAGCGUGGGGAGCGAACAGGAUUAGAUACCCUGGUAGUCCACGCCGUAAACGAUGGAUACUAGCUGUCCGGUACCUUGAGUACUGGGCGGCCAAGCGAAAGUGAUAAGUAUCCCACCUGGGGAGUACGUUCGCAAGAAUGAAACUCAAAGGAAUUGACGGGGGCCCGCACAAGCGGUGGAGCAUGUGGUUUAAUUCGAUGAUACGCGAGGAACCUUACCAGGGCUUAAAUGUAGAUUGACAGGUUUAGAGAUAGACUUUCCUUCGGGCAAUUUACAAGGUGCUGCAUGGUUGUCGUCAGCUCGUGCCGUGAGGUGUCAGGUUAAGUCCUAUAACGAGCGCAACCCCUGCCGUUAGUUGCCAGCAUUUAAAGAUGGGGACUCUA
rnacentral:rRNA from 1 species